AAGGGAAGGGAGAAGAAAUGUGUGGGAAAUAUCAGAAAGGGAGACAGAACAUAAAGACUCCUAACUCUGGGAAACGAACUAGGGGUGAUGGAAGGGGAGGAGGGCGGGGGGUGGGGGUGAAUGGGUGAUGGGCAUUGAGGGGGGAACUUGACGGAAUGAGCACUGGGUGUUAUUCUGUAUGUUGGCAAAUUGAACACCAAUAAAAAAUAAAUUUAUUAUUAAAAAAAAUAUCAGUGAGGGUGACAAAACAUGAGAGACACCUAACUCUGGGAAAUAAACAAGGGGUAGUGGAAAGUUAGGUGGGAAGGGAGUUGGGGUGACUGGGUGAUGGGCACUGAGGGGAGCACUUGGCCGGAUGAGCACGGGGUGUUAUGCUAUAUGUUGGCAAAUAGAACUCCAAUAAAAAAUAAAAAAUAAAAAUAAAUAAAUAAAUAAAUAAAUAAAUAAAUAAAUAAAUAAAUAAGAAAAAAUAAAUAGGGACAGCUUAGUUGUCUCUAGUUUGGGCGAUGCUAAAUAAAACUGACUUUAUUUGCAAAACAAACUUGAAUACCUUGCACAAAGACAGGCUUUAUGGACUACCAUCCUGAAUCAGUUUGGAUUAGGCCCAUUAAAAUACAUUUUCAGAUGGAUGGAAGCUGGUGGAAUAGAAUUCCUCAUGUCAGCUGGUCCCCUUAAUUUAGCUACAUAACUAUCAAGCCAUCCUGAACAGCAGUGAAUUCAAGCUGAGAUGUAAGGAAGAAUGCCUGACUCUACAAAUCAAAAGAUACACCCCUGUCAAGACAGCAGGUGAUUGCUGUGCAGCUGCAUUCACUUUGAAAGCACUAUGAUGUCACACAUUGCCAUGGUGACGAGAAAUAUACCUCUGCCUUUCUUCCCAACUGUCACUCUUUGAGCUGAGCAGUUCAUAGUUGAUAUUGAGUUGUCAGCUCUCUACCUAGCGUCUUUGAGGAUGGACAACCUCAAUUCUUGCUGCUGCGAUGAUGUUGCCAAGGCUGUGGUGCCAGAUUUUGUCCACCGAAACUCAAGCAACGGUGAAAUCCAGUAUUGGUGCCAGUUUAGACUUGGUGAGAGAAGCAGAGAUUGUACCCAGGCUCCUUAUAUCAGUCAUGGACGUCUAAUGAAGGAUGGAUACCUGGAUACCUUCAAGCAGCUGCUUGAAACACAAACCUCAAUGAGGCUAAGUUUUGACAUGAAGGAGGGGAGGGAAUUUCCUGAGCACCUAUCUAAAAGAGAUUUCUGGGGGGAAGAAAUGUACAUUGGGGUAUAG
rnacentral:lncRNA from 1 species